rnacentral:rRNA from 1 species
UACGAAGGGGGCUAGCGUUGCUCGGAAUCACUUGGGCGUAAAGGGUGCGUAGGGCGGGUCUUUUAAGUCAGGGGUGAAAUCCUGGAGCUCAACUCCAGAACUGCCUUUGAUACUGAGGAUCUUGGAGUUCGGGAGAGGUGAGUGGAACUGCGAGUGUAGAGGUGAAAUUCGUAGAUAUUCGCAAGAACAUCAGUGGCGAAGGCGGCCUGCUGGGCUGUUGCUGACGCUGAGGCGCGACAGCGUGGGGAGGCAAACAGG